rnacentral:rRNA from 1 species
UACAGAGGGGGCAAGCGUUGUUCGGAAUUACUGGGCGUAAAGGGCGCGUAGGCGGCCUGUUAAGUCGAACGUGAAAUCCCCGGGCUCAACCCGGGAACUGCGUCCGAUACUGGCAGGCUUGAAUUCGGGAGAGGGAAGUGGAAUUCCAGGUGUAGCGGUGAAAUGCGUAGAUAUCUGGAGGAACACCGGUGGCGAAGGCGGCAUCCUGGACCGAUAUUGACGCUGAUGCGCGAAAGCCAGGGGAGCAAACGGG